UUUAUGGAGAGUUUGAUCCUGGCUCAGGAUGAACGCUGGCGGCGUGCCUAAUACAUGCAAGUCGAGCGAACGGACGAGAAGCUUGCUUCUCUGAUGUUAGCGGCGGACGGGUGAGUAACACGUGGAUAACCUACCUAUAAGACUGGGAUAACUUCGGGAAACCGGAGCUAAUACCGGAUAAUAUUUUGAACCGCAUGGUUCAAAAGUGAAAGACGGUCUUGCUGUCACUUAUAGAUGGAUCCGCGCUGCAUUAGCUAGUUGGUAAGGUAACGGCUUACCAAGGCAACGAUGCAUAGCCGACCUGAGAGGGUGAUCGGCCACACUGGAACUGAGACACGGUCCAGACUCCUACGGGAGGCAGCAGUAGGGAAUCUUCCGCAAUGGGCGAAAGCCUGACGGAGCAACGCCGCGUGAGUGAUGAAGGUCUUCGGAUCGUAAAACUCUGUUAUUAGGGAAGAACAUAUGUGUAAGUAACUGUGCACAUCUUGACGGUACCUAAUCAGAAAGCCACGGCUAACUACGUGCCAGCAGCCGCGGUAAUACGUAGGUGGCAAGCGUUAUCCGGAAUUAUUGGGCGUAAAGCGCGCGUAGGCGGUUUUUUAAGUCUGAUGUGAAAGCCCACGGCUCAACCGUGGAGGGUCAUUGGAAACUGGAAAACUUGAGUGCAGAAGAGGAAAGUGGAAUUCCAUGUGUAGCGGUGAAAUGCGCAGAGAUAUGGAGGAACACCAGUGGCGAAGGCGACUUUCUGGUCUGUAACUGACGCUGAUGUGCGAAAGCGUGGGGAUCAAACAGGAUUAGAUACCCUGGUAGUCCACGCCGUAAACGAUGAGUGCUAAGUGUUAGGGGGUUUCCGCCCCUUAGUGCUGCAGCUAACGUAUUAAGCACUCCGCCUGGGGAGUACGACCGCAAGGUUGAAACUCAAAGGAAUUGACGGGGACCCGCACAAGCGGUGGAGCAUGUGGUUUAAUUCGAAGCAACGCGAAGAACCUUACCAAAUCUUGACAUCCUUUGACAACUCUAGAGAUAGAGCCUUCCCCUUCGGGGGACAAAGUGACAGGUGGUGCAUGGUUGUCGUCAGCUCGUGUCGUGAGAUGUUGGGUUAAGUCCCGCAACGAGCGCAACCCUUAAGCUUAGUUGCCAUCAUUAAGUUGGGCACUCUAAGUUGACUGCCGGUGACAAACCGGAGGAAGGUGGGGAUGACGUCAAAUCAUCAUGCCCCUUAUGAUUUGGGCUACACACGUGCUACAAUGGACAAUACAAAGGGCAGCGAAACCGCGAGGUCAAGCAAAUCCCAUAAAGUUGUUCUCAGUUCGGAUUGUAGUCUGCAACUCGACUACAUGAAGCUGGAAUCGCUAGUAAUCGUAGAUCAGCAUGCUACGGUGAAUACGUUCCCGGGUCUUGUACACACCGCCCGUCACACCACGAGAGUUUGUAACACCCGAAGCCGGUGGAGUAACCUUUUAGGAGCUAGCCGUCGAAGGUGGGACAAAUGAUUGGGGUGAAGUCGUAACAAGGUAGCCGUAUCGGAAGGUGCGGCUGGAUCACCUCCUUUCU
rnacentral:rRNA from 1 species